rnacentral:lncRNA from 1 species
CCUGAGGCUCAGGGCUUGGACUCUAAGACCACCAUUAUUUCCUUUCACCAAAGGGAGGAAAAUCUCUGUCUCUCUCUCUCUGUGUCUCUCUCUGUCUCUCUCUCUCUGUCUCUGUCUGUCUCUCUCUCUCUCUCUGUUUCUUCCUCUCUGUCUGUCUGUCUGUCUCUGUUUCUGUCUCUCUCUAUUGCUGUUUCUCUGUCUCUAUUUCUCUCUGUCUCUGUUUCUCUCUGUCUCUGUCUCUCUGUUUCUGUUUGUCUGUCUGUCUGUCUCUGUUUCUCUCUGUCUCUGUUUCUGUUUCUUUGUCUGUCUCUGUUUCUGUCUCUGUCUCUCCCUGUUUCUUUGUCUCUGUCUCUUCCAAUUUUCAUCAUUACCUCUAUCAUCUCUCUUUCUGUUUCUGUCUCUGUCUCUCUCUAUUUUUGUUUGUCUGCCUCUGUUUCUGUUUCUCUGUCUGUCUCUCUCUCUGUUUCUGACUGUCUGUUUCUCUGUCUGUCUCUGUCUCUGUUUCUUUGUCUGUUUCUCUGUUUCUCUCUGUCUCUCCCUGUUUCUUUGUCUCUGUCUCUUCCAAUCUUCAUCUUCAUCUCUAUCAUCUCUCUUUCUGUUUCUGUCUCUGUCUCUCUCUAUUGCUGUUUGUCUGUCUGUCUCUGUUUCUGUCUCUAUUUCUCUCUGUUUGUCUCUCUGUUUCUCUCUGUCUCUCUCUAUUUCUGUCUGUCUGUCUGUGUCUCUCUCUGUUUCUGUUUCUCUGUCUGUCUGUCUCUGUUUUUCUCUGUCUCUGUCUGUUUCUGUUUCUUUGUCUGUCUCUCUGUUUCUCUCUGUCUCUGUCUCUCUCUCUUUCUGUUUCUUUGUCUCUGUCUCUUCCAAUCAUCAUCAUCUCUAUCAUCUCUCUUUCUGUCUCUGUCUCUGUCUCUCUCUAUUUCUAUUUGUCUGUCUGUCUCUGUUUCAGUUUCUCUGUCUGUCUUUGUUUCUCUCUUUCCCUCUGUUUCUGUUUCUGUUUCUGUCUGUCUCUCUGUUUCUGUCUCUUUCUCUCUUUGUUUUUGUCUCUGUCUCUGUUUCUCUGUCUGUCUGUCUCUGACUCUCUGUUUCUGUUUCUCUGUCUGUCUGUUCGUCUCUGUUUCUCUCUCUCUCUGUUUCUGUUUCUCUGUCUGUCUCUGUCUCUCUUCCAAUCUUUGUCAUCAUCUCUAUCAUCUCUCUCUCUUACUCACUCUCUUUCUCUGUUUCUGUUUGUCUGUCUCCCUAUCUCUGUCUUUCCUCCAGCCCAUGUGAGUAGGAAAUGAAUCUUCUCCUCCAGGAUUUGGAGUUCCUGUAACUACAGAAACCUGCAUGCGCCACCGAGCAGGAGCCUGAGGGCAAAAGCCUUAAAAGACCUGAGAAAGCCCACUGGGUCCCCCCCCC